UAAACAUGAGAGUUUGAUCCUGGCUCAGGACGAACGCUGGCGGCGUGCCUAACACAUGCAAGUCGAGCGAAGGGAGUA
rnacentral:rRNA from 1 species